rnacentral:lncRNA from 1 species
AAUUUGUACGUCAAACUCUACAGAUAAUUCUGUGCAGUCUAUUUUCACUCUUCUUUAAAACAGCCACAAAAUAUGCAGCUUCCUUUCCCUGAGAAAAUGGCAAAGAAAAUUAAACACAGAAGGCCAGGGAGGGUGCGUGGAAAUGGUUCACAUGUUCAAAAGUUUUAUAUGUAUAGAAGAAAGCUGUGAAGUGUGAAGUACAUUUUCUAUUGUAGAAUGGAUGAAAAUGGAAUAAAAAUAAUAUUCUUUGCUAGGCAGAAUAAAUAACUUCUUUAAACAAUUUUAUGGUAUGAAGAAAUCUGGACCAGUUUCUUAAAUGGGAUUUCUACCACAAACCUUUGAAGAAUCACGUCGUCUUAGCCCAAGGUGAAAACUACAUUGUGUAACAGAGAACAUGACCAUGAUCCACGUACACAUCCCCCGGCAAGGCAGGACACAGGCCAGCGACAGAACACUUGAGACAGGCCUACAACUGCGCAUGGUUCAGAAGCAAGUUUCAGCACACUUGCUGCUGUGAGACUCCAUUUCCGUCUAAAGAAGAUGUGGAAACAAUUUGCUCCACUGGGAAGAGGGGAAAAGGUCACAGAAAGGCAAGUUGACCAGAAGACCCCUCACAGCGUCCCCUUAUCACCACCUCCUCUGUCUCUAGGGAAGGCGUGGGGGCUGGUGGUGCAUUGGCUAGGUACAGGGGCAAUGGCCACAGCUGGGACCACUGUGGAAGCCCCCAUACUGAAGACCCACUGCCUGAUCUCAUCAUUUUACAUCACUCUGUGACCUAUGACUUUGACCCUCUCUCCUAACUGGCCUGGCCUGGUGGGAGCAGUAGCCACUUAUUUAGGUCUAAGGACUCCAGGCUCUAGGGCUUUGCAGAUGCAGGCAGAUUUGGGGCCUGAGCAGAGGCAGGAAUGAACUUGGAACACAACCCUCAGAAGUUCUGAGGUAGUCCUGGCCAUGGGGUCCAUGCAAGGACUACAUCCCACAGCUUUCUGCUUUCCACUCUGCCAUCAGUGCCCACACAUGGUUCAGGAGGUGGAGAUCAUGAGAUGGCACCUGGGUCCACGCACUCGGCUCUAGUUCUGCUCAAGGCUUGUGGUAUUGCUCAUGGAAACAGAGGAUGCUGGAAGCAAAGGGCUGGUUUUGCCGCAGAACCACAGCAUCUGUGGGCGAGUAUGGGGGUUCAGGCCAUGUCCAACCAGCUGGCCCCUGCAGCAGGACCUCCACAGCCUCCAGCCUCUGGGGACUUUAGGACCUAAUGGAGACUUUUAUUGGCACAGCUCUAAGUUGUUCAGCUCAGUCUCUUUCAGCAAUUCCCGAAUUGCAGCCUGUGUGUAAUGAAAACCACCAGCAAAAUUAAAAGCAAUGUGUCCUCUACUCAUAAUUAUUUUUUAAAAUAAAAUUUCAGAAACUAAUUAUCGAAAUUUUAUAAGCUGCAUCUGCCUCAAAUUCCAGUUAAGCCUAGUAGCCCUGCUCUGUUUUAUACAUCAACACCCAAAUUAUUUGUUGCUAUUUAAAACGUAACUUUCUACAUAUUUUUAAGGUUUUACUUGUAAUUUUUAUUACACUCAUACAUGUAAAAUUCUUAAACGGCUAAGAACAGGUACUACACUUGAUCUUAGCCAAAAGGGCAAGAAUCACUGCAUGCAAAGCUUUUAAGAGCCCAGCAUUACUGCCUGGUUUGUGGUGAAAGCAGCUUCUUUAUU